rnacentral:ncRNA from 2 species
AUGGUGGCGACCGCAGCUGGUUCGGCGCCCAACCCAGGCGCGUCGAGGCAAGAGGGAACCCGGUGCAAGUCCGGGACUGCCCCGCAGCGGUGAGUGGGAACGACCGCCAUCCCUCACGGCAUACGCCGUGUCGGCAGCACUGCACCUGAUGGGUGUGGGAAGCGAUGGCCAGUAGGUGGCUCCGGCCAGGCCCAUGAGUCCGAAGACCUGCCAGCGCACCGUGCCCGCC